rnacentral:lncRNA from 1 species
CAGAUCUAUAUUUGCCCUACAGGAACUAGCAGUGGGGGAUCAUGAUUUAAUAGAACACUUUAAUUACAACUCAAGUCAGGUCCACUAAGCUGAUCUUUUUAAGACUACCUCAGGAAGCAGCUGGCCUAUUGCUUCAGUCUCCUCUCUGCAAGCCAUAGCAAUAUCAGUCGCAUCCUCAGYAGUUCGUGGGAAAGAUGUAGUCAAGCCAAAAAGAGCCUUCAGGAAGUAUUUUGCUUUAAAUUUGCCUCACCAGACUGAAAAAUGUUUCCCUCUCUCUGAAAAUCAGCAGAGUGACAGUUUUGCCAGGAAGGAUCUAAUAGAAAAGCAAUGCAAGUGUCCCUAUUUAAAGCUGCUUCUACUGGUUCAAAGAAUCAAGUGUUGAUCAGAUUCCACCAUCUACUGGAAUUCCACAGAAUUACAUGACUGCUUUAAAGAGGGUUCAUUCUGCAACUACCAAGAGGUCCACGAUCUGAGCACCUUGGAGAAAUAUCACUACACACUUGCCUUGGUCUCCUGCAGUUCACUGGACAUCUGCCAGCGAGUGCUAGUUAGACUCUGUGGUUACUGGGCUAGACAAACUUUUGAUCUGACCUGGUAUAAACACCUUUUUUCCCUAUGUAGGGCAAACAAUAAAAAAAGAAGUUUAAAAAAAAAAGCA